rnacentral:rRNA from 1 species
UACGUAGGGUGCAGGCGUUAAUCGGAAUUACUGGGCGUAAAGCGUGCGCAGGCGGUUUGCUAAGACAGGUGUGAAGUCCCCGGGCUUAACCUGGGAACUGCGCUUGUUACUGGCAAGCUGGAGUGUGGCAGAGGGGGGUGGAAUUCCACGUGUAGCAGUGAAAUGCGUAGAGAUGUGGAGGAACACCGAUGGCGAAGGCAGCCCCCUGGGCUAACACUGACGCUCAUGCACGAAAGCGUGGGGAGCGAACCGG